UACAGAGGAGCCAAGCGUUGUCCGGAUUGACUGGGCGUAAAGCGCACGCAGGCGGACGCGCGCGUGGGGUGUGAAAUCUGGCCGCUUAACGGCCAGGCGCCAUCCCAUACGGCGGGUCUGGAGCCUUGCAGAGGUCGGUGGAAUUCCCGGUGUAGCAGUGAAAUGCGUAGAGAUCGGGAGGAACAUCCGUGGCGAAGGCGACUACCUGGACCAGCACUGACACUGAGGCACGAAAGCGUGGGGAGCAAACAGG
rnacentral:rRNA from 1 species